rnacentral:tRNA from 1 species
CGGGGUGUAGCGCAGCCCGGUUAGCGCGCUACGUUCGGGACGUAGAGGUCGUGAGUUCGAAUCUCACCACCCCGACCA